AUGGAUAUUGACAUUGGUAGUGAGAUGGAAAAUGAAGGUUCUGACAACUAUGACAUUGAAACAGAUUCUUCCCAAAGUGAAGAGCUAGAAUCUGAAGAUGAAACAAACCAGUCA